CGGUCUCUCUGUCCAAUCACAGCCCUCUCCGCUUCGGCCACGCCCUCAGCAGAUCCGGCCAAUCAGCAGUGUUCCUGGGCGGAUCGGUGGAGACGAGCGGCUCACUGUCCAAUCAGCAGUGCAGGAGACACCGGUGCUCCAGUGACAGAGAGGUGGUGUGUGUGUACAGACGGGUUGUUCAGUCCUACACACUCAGUGUUCUUCAGUUCUCGUCAUUCAGAAACACACUGAAUCAGACAGCAGCGAUGGAAACACACCUGCAGCAGGUGUGUGAGCGUCUGCAGCAGAUGUGUGUGCUGUAUGUCGGCCCGCUGCCGUCUGACGCCACAGAGACUCUCGUACACAGACUCCUGAAGCGCUGCGGACACCUGCGGAACUAA